AUGAUGCAUUCUCCAGCAAGAUGUUCCAAAAGGCUCAUGUACGUCGACUGUGUUGAUCUGUCCACCGUGGAUUUCACUGGGACUGGAGGCCCGCCGCCUGCGCACAAGUUUGCUGUUUCUGCGUGGACUAUCAACACUGUCAAGGCUGUGCUUGCCGCAGACAAGACUACUGACACCACAUAUGGAAAACUGCAGCUGAUGGCCAAGCAUGCUAUAGACUACAUCGUGUUUGGGGGGCCUCAAAACUUUGGAAAGUGGAUGGACGUGCACUCAGCUCCGUCUUGCCCUGCCAAGGCUAGGGCACCCGUUGAGCAUCUAAUAGGGCAGUUUGCAUCCGGAAUGACCGGCUUGCUCGGGAAGUUGGUUGAGGGGUGGACGUCCCUCAAUGGCUCUGACUGCGACGCGGUUGCGAGGCAGUUCACUUCAUUUAUCCCAGAACGUACACAUCGGCCAACCAGUUGCCAUGGCCGGUAUGACUAUAACAGUUCCCAAGAGCCUGCUGACACACAAGAUGAACUAGGUGGAGAUGCUGGUCUCAGCAAGGAUGACGAUGACAUGGAGAAUGUGCAACAGGACACCGAUGAUGAUGAACAUGCUGAAGUUCGCGCAAGUGGUAACAAGGGCAAGGAUGCAACAGAUGUCCCCCAACCGGAGAAAGUCAAAGAACAUAUGUCUGCGAGAGGCGAGGGGCUUUUGCCAUCAAAGAGGGGGAGGGCUCCAGAGGGUGUUGGGCAGGGUUCUCCUGGCAAGAGGUCUAGGACUGAUCCCGUAGCUGCCAGGAAGAGCGAGCUGACAGCUGGUGGACGAGCAGUUACGAAGAAACAGGCGCCAACGCCAACCCGUGCUUCUGCUCGGUUGAACAAAGGCGCCGCCCCAUUGCUGGUGACACCCCUUCCACCAGGUCACCUCCUCGCACGACGACGACCAACACCGGGGAUCCUGUCGUGUUGCCAGACCUGA
rnacentral:rRNA from 1 species